rnacentral:rRNA from 1 species
AGCAAACGCUGGCGGCAGGCCUAACACAUGCAAGUCGAACGAACUCUUCGGAGUUAGUGGCGGACGGGUGAGUAACACGUGGGAACGUGCCUUUAGGUUCGGAAUAACUCAGGGAAACUUGUGCUAAUACCGAAUGUGCCCUUCGGGGGAAAGAUUUAUCGCCUUUAGAGCGGCCCGCGUCUGAUUAGCUAGUUGGUGAGGUAAAGGCUCACCAAGGCGACGAUCAGUAGCUGGUCUGAGAGGAUGAUCAGCCACAUUGGGACUGAGACACGGCCCAAACUCCUACGGGAGGCAGCAGUGGGGAAUCUUGCGCAAUGGGCGAAAGCCUGACGCAGCCAUGCCGCGUGAAUGAUGAAGGUCUUAGGAUUGUAAAAUUCUUUCACCGGGGACGAUAAUGACGGUACCCGGAGAAGAAGCCCCGGCUAACUUCGUG